AUCGAAAGAACACAUUGAAAUUUAAUUUUUACUUUAAUUUGAAUAUAUUUCUUACUACAUGAAUUUUGUAAUAAUUCGACUUGUGAGUUGCGUUCAAUAAUGUGAAUUAUAUAAUACCUUAUUAAAUUCUAAUCGUUUAAUUGGCUGUUUAUGGUCACGUGAUAUUGAAUAGAAAAUUCCAUUUCCCAAGAGUGCAUGGAACACGUUCCAUUGCACUCUCCGCGAGUGCAAUGGAAUAAAACGUAUAGUACAAUUGCACUCUUUGUGUUUUCGAUAAAUCGCAUCCCUCAAAAUGCUUCUUAUACGAAUCUAUUAGUCUAUUUUGGUAUUAUAUAAAACAAAUAAUGAAUGUUUCUUCGUGCAAUGGUAAGAAUAUUUUCAUUCCGUGAAAGAUGGAAUGUUCCAUUCAACUCGACUGUCGCCUCGUUGAAUGGAACAUUCCAUCUUUCACCUCAUGAAAAUAUUCUUAUCAUUGCACUCAUAAACAUUCAUUAUUUGUAUACUGUUCAAUAUAAUAAUAUUGAACUAAUAAUAUAGUUCUUUAGUCUAAAAGAUCAAAUAAACUAGAAUAUAAAAUUUUCUUACAAGGAAACACUAAAAUAUAAAAUUUAGAAUAAUUUACAGUUCAAAUAUUAUACAUACAAGAAUAUACAAGACUGUUAAACACUAACCUAUAUAUAAAUAAUAUUUUAAAGUAUUAUAUGAAUUGGAAUUUUUACUUCGGCGGAACAAUUUUUACUAGGUGUACCAAUACAUUUAUCGUAACAACAGUUUUGUAAUUUAAGGCUUAUUGCACAUCUUCUGGCUCUGUUUUAAUAUAAUAAUUUGUUCUCUUUCAUUAGCACGGCAUUAUCUGGCGAUAAAAGUAUAUCAGAAACCAUGCACAUAAGUAUACAAAUUAAAUGCUUCGUAUGGUAUAUAUAUAUAUAUAUAUAUAUAUAUAUAUAUAUAUAU